rnacentral:rRNA from 1 species
UGCCUAAUACAUGCAAGUCGAACGCGUUGGCCCAACUGAUUGAACGUGCUUGCACGGACUUGACGUUGGUUUACCAGCGAGUGGCGGACGGGUGAGUAACACGUAGGUAACCUGCCCCAAAGCGGGGGAUAACAUUUGGAAACAGAUGCUAAUACCGCAUAACAAUUUGAAUCGCAUGAUUCAAAUUUAAAAGAUGGCUUCGGCUAUCACUUUGGGAUGGACCUGCGGCGCAUUAGCUUGUUGGUAGGGUAACGGCCUACCAAGGCUGUGAUGCGUAGCCGAGUUGAGAGACUGAUCGGCCACAAUGGAACUGAGACACGGUCCAUACUCCUACGGGAGGCAGCAGUAGGGAAUCUUCCACAAUGGGCGCAAGCCUGAUGGAGCAACACCGCGUGAGUGAAGAAGGGUUUCGGCUCGUAAAGCUCUGUUGUUAGAGAAGAACGUGCGUGAGAGCAACUGUUCACGCAGUGACGGUAUCUAACCAGAAAGUCACGGCUAACUACGUGCCAGCAGCCGCGGUAAUACGUAGGUGGCAAGCGUUAUCCGGAUUUAUUGGGCGUAAAGCGAGCGCAGGCGGUUUGAUAAGUCUGAUGUGAAAGCCUUUGGCUUAACCAAAGAAGUGCAUCGGAAACUGUCAGACUUGAGUGCAGAAGAGGAUAGUGGAACUCCAUGUGUAGCGGUGGAAUGCGUAGAUAUAUGGAAGAACACC